UUUAAAUAAAUAAGAGUAUUUGGUGGAUGCCUUGG
rnacentral:rRNA from 1 species